AUGUUAACCAGAGAGAAUAUCGUUUUGGCUGGUGGUGGAGGAGGUGAUUCCUUCUUGAUGUUAACCAGAGAUAAUAUAUUUUUGGCUGGUGGUGGAGGAGGUGAUUCCUUCUUGAUGUUAAGCAGAGAUAAUAUAUUUUUGGCUGGUGGAGGAGGAGGUGAUUCCUUCUUGGUGUUAAGCAGAGAGAAUAUAUUUUUGGCUGGUGGUGGAGGAGGUGAUUCCUUCUUGAUGUUAAGCAGAGAUAAUAUAUUUUUGGCUGGUGGUGGAGGAGGUGAUUCCUUCUUGGUGUUAAGCAGAGAGAAUAUAUUUUUGGCUGGUGGUGGAGGAGGUGAUUCCUUCUUGAUGUUAACCAGAGAGAAUAUAUUUUUGGCUGGUGGUGGAGGAGGUGAUUCCUUCUUGAUGUUAAGCAGAGAGAAUAUAUUUUUGGCUGGUGGUGGAGGAGGUGAUUCCUUCUUGGUGUUAAGCAGAGAGAAUAUAUUUUUGGCUGGUGGUGGAGGAGGUGAUUCCUUCUUGAUGUUAAGCAGAGAGAAUAUAUUUUUGGCUGGUGGAGGAGGAGGUGAUUCCUUCUUGGUGUUAAGCAGAGAGAAUUUAUUUUUGGCUGGUGGUGGAGGAGGUGAUUCCUUCUUGGUGUUAAGCAGAGAGAAUAUCUUCUGCUCUCCUUUCUUCCUCUUACCCAGAGAGAGAGACUUCGGUGACACUGACUCCUUCCUAGAGUUACCCAAUGACAGCCUCUUGAUUGACAGCGACUCCUUCCUCUUCCCGGCCACUGAAAACGUAUUAUUGGGAGUAAGGACCUCCCUCUUCAGGUUAUCCACUGACAGUUUGUCCAGAGGAGGAAUAAUGAUGCUUCUCUUCUGUUUCUUACUGGAUAGUGCCCCCUUCAGUUCACUCCAGGUCAACACUGAGUCCUGUUUCUUCUUUCUCCCCCCAAAUACAGUCUUCUUAGAGGAGGAGCCCCCCAUAGCAGAUAGGGGGAGAGGAGCCCACCGUAGCAGACAGGGAGGAGAGGAAGAGAGCUGA
rnacentral:lncRNA from 1 species